GCGGCUAGACGAGGCG
rnacentral:miRNA from 1 species